rnacentral:rRNA from 1 species
GGGGUAAUACCGAAUACGCUCAUUUGGCUGUGGCCGGAUGAGGAAAGGCGCUUCGGCGUCGCCCUGCGAUGAGCCUGCGCCCCAUUAGCUAGUUGGUAGGGUAAAGGCCUACCAAGGCGACGAUGGGUAGCCGGCCUGAGAGGGUGAUCGGCCACACUGGGACUGAGAUACGGCCCAGACUCCUACGGGAGGCAGCAGCUAAGAAUCUUCCGCAAUGGACGAAAGUCUGACGGAGCGACGCCGCGUGGGUGAAGAAGGCCGGAAGGUUGUAAAGCCCUUUUCUCGUUGAGGAAUAAGCACAGGAGGGAAUGCCUGUGCGAUGACGGUAGGCGAGGAAUAAGUCCCGGCCAAUUACGUGCCAGCAGCCGCGGUAACACGUAUGGGACGAGCGUUGUUCGGAAUCAUUGGGCGUACAGGGCGCGUAGGCGGCGAGGUAAGCCUGGUGUGAAAGACCGCAGCUUAACUGCGGAACCGCGCUAGGAACUGCUUUGCUUGAGUUCAGGAGGGGGAGCUGGAAUUCCAGGUGUAGGGGUGAAAUCUGUAGAUAUCUGGAAGAACACCGGCGGCGAAGGCGAGCUCCUGGCCAUGAACUGGCGCUGAGGCGCGAAAGCGUGGGGAGCGAACAGGAUUAGAUACCCUGGUAGUCCACGCUGUAAACGAUGUGCACUAGGUGUUGGGCCACGAAGGUUCAGUGCCGGAGUCAACGCGUUAAGUGCACCGCCUGGGGAGUAUGCUCGCAAGGGUGAAACUCAAAGGAAUUGACGGGGGACCGCACAAGCGGUGGAGCAUGUGGAUGAAUUCGAUGAUACGCGAGGAACCUUACCAGGGUUUGACAUAUGCCGGAAUGUGCAGGAGACUGCGCAGCCCUUCGGGGCCGGUAUACAGGUGCUGCAUGGCCGUCGUCAGCUCGUGCCGUGAGGUGUUGGGUUAAGUCCCGCAACGAGCGCAGCCCCUACCGUCUGUUGCCAGCAUUCAGUUGGGGACUCAGGCGGAACUGCCGGUGACAAACCGGAGGAAGGUGGGGACGACGUCAGGUCAUCAUGGCCCUUAUAUCCUGGGCUACACACGUGCUACAAUGGCCGGUACAGAGCGAAGCAACACCGCGAGGUAGAGCAAAUCGCAGAAAGCCGGUCUCAGUUCGGAUUGGAGUCUGAAAC